rnacentral:tRNA from 1 species
GGAGCUGUCGCUCAGUGGGCAGAGCCUUUGCCUAGCAUGCACGAAGUCCUGGAUUCAAGUCCCAGCACUCCA